AAGUCGUAACAAGGUUUCCGUAGGUGAACCUGCGGAAGGAUCAUUAGUGAAUUUAGCGCAUCUGCUUUGCAGAGCGUGACCUCCACUUUCUAACUCUGUGCACUUAAUGGCGGAAGAGAUGAAAUAUGCUCUUCUGCGGCUCAUUUUAUAACACUAGUUAAAGAAUGUAACGAAAUAUCGAAACAAAAAAAAACUUUCAACAACGGAUCUCUUGGCUCUCGCAUCGACG
rnacentral:misc_RNA from 1 species